CAUUGUUAUUACAGGAAAUGAUCAGAAUGGGAUUUCUCAACUCAAACAGUAUUUAUUUAAUCACUUCCAGACUAAGGACUUAGGGAAGUUGAAGUACUUUCUAGGAAUUGAAGUGGCACAGUCUAAGACAGAUAUUGUUAUUUCUCAAAGAAAAUAUAUUGUCGAUAUACUAGAGGAAACUGACAUGUUAGACUGCAAACAUGUGGACACUUCUAUGGAUCCGAAUGUCAAGUUGGUUCCUGGACAGGGGGAGCCAUUGAAAGAUCAUGGUAGGUACUGAAGGUUAGUCGGUAAACUCAACUAUCUCACAAUCACACGUCCAGACAUUUCCUUUGCAGUAAGUGUGGUUAGUCAGUUCCGCCAGGCACCAUGUAGUAGUCACUGGGAUGCAGUUGUGCGCAUUCUCAAGUACAUCAAAGGAGCUCUAGGGCAAGGCUUGUUGUAUGAAAAUAAGGGUCACUCACAAAUUGUUGGUUAUUCAGAUGCAGAUUGGGCUGGUUCUCCUUCAGAUAAACGAUCCACUUCAGGAUACUGUAUUAUGAUUGGAGGGAAUUUAAUAUCCUGGAAGUGUAAAAAGAAAGAUGUGAUUGCCAGGUCAAGUGUAGAAGCAAAGUAUCGAGCAAUGACCUUAGCAACAUGUGAACUUAUUUGGGUGAAACAACUUCUUUAAGAGUUGAAGUAUGGAGAGAAUAGUCAAAUGAAGUUAAUAUGUGACAAUCAAGCAGCCCUCCAUAUUGUCUCUAAACCAGUUUUUCAUGAAAGAACAAAACAUAUAGAGGUAGUUUGUCACUUUAUCAGACAAAAAAUUGAAUCAGGUUGUAUUGCCACUAGUUUUGUCAAUUCCAAUGAUCAGUUAGCAGAUAUUCUUACUAAAUCUCUCAGAGGUCCACAGAUCGAAUACAUUUAUAGCAAGCUUGGAGCAUAUGACAUGUACUCUCCAACUUGAGGGGGAGUGUUGAGAUAUGU
rnacentral:misc_RNA from 1 species